rnacentral:rRNA from 1 species
AUUGAACGCUGGCGGCAUGCCUUACACAUGCAAGUCGAACGGUAACAGGUCUUUCGUGAUGCUGACUAGUGUCGAACGGGUGAGUAAUACAUCGGAACGUGCCUAGUAGUGGGGGAUAACUACUCGAAAGAGUGGCUAAUACUGCAUGAUAUCUAUGCAUGAAAGCAGGGGACCUUUGGGCCGUUUGCUACUAUAGCGGCCGAUGGCAGAUUAGGUAGUUGGUGGGAUAAAAGCUUACCAAGCCUACUAUCUGUAGCUGGACUGAGAGGACGGUCAGCCACACUGGGACUGAGACACGCACCAGACUCCUACGAGAGGCAGCAGUGUGGAAUUUUGGACAAUAGGCGCGAGCAUGAUACAGCAAUGGCGAGUGCAGGAUGAAGACCUUCGGGUUGUAAACUGCUUUUGUACGUAACGAAAAGUCUUGGGUUAAUACCAUGGGAUAAUGACGGUACCGUAAGAAUAAGCACCGGCUAACUACGUG